GAAUAAAAGGAUCCCUUUCGCUUUAUUUUCUCUCCCUUUUCCCUGAUAUUUCGGUUUGACGGCUGCUACCCUCUUUCAACCCCGGUGCUUCAAUCGAACGAGCUCUAUUAUUCUCGUGCAUCAUUAUGUCGGACGAGGAACCGGUUGACCAGAAGAAGUACUUUGAAGAGUUGUGCAAGCCUAAAUGUGUUAGAGCUUGGCUUGACUAUCAGGGCUGUGUGAAAAGGGUUCAGGCUGAUGAAACGGGCCACAAACAUUGCACUGGACAAUACUUUGAUUACUGGCACUGCGUUGACAAAUGCGUUGCACCUAGGCUGUUUGCAAAACUGAAGUAAUAUACACAUCUAUGGAUACCAUGGAUGAUAUGGAGAGAUUAGCAGUCUGAUUUUGUUUUCAAUGAAACUAAUUUUGGUAUACCUAUACCUUGAGUGGAUCAUAAUAAGGAGUUGUGUCUAAAUUGGCAUGAAUUUCGAACAUUUAUGGUGUUUUAAUGGAUGUUUUUUCAUUGUGAAAAUAGACCUUUAAUUUCAAGCUUGUCCAUUUUGUGUCUUCUCUGUUAACCAACAAUUGUUUUUCUUUUCAUUUUGUGGUGAUGUUUAUAAAUAAUUGAAAACAAGUAGU
rnacentral:lncRNA from 1 species